AUCCAGGGAUGGGAAUGUAACCCACAGUGUUCCUUUUAACGGGAAGAUGCCAUGUCCACUAGGCUACCCUGGA